rnacentral:rRNA from 1 species
UACGAAGGGGGCUAGCGUUGCCCGGAAUCACUGGGCGUAAAGCGCACGUAGGCGGACUCUCGAGUCGGUGGUGAAAUCCUGGAGCUCAACUCCAGAACUGCCUUUGAUACUGGGGAUCUCGAGUCCGGAAGAGGUGAGUGGAAUUCCGAGUGUAGAGGUGAAAUUCGUAGAUAUUCGGAAGAACACCAGUGGCGAAGGCGGCUCACUGGUCCGGUACUGACGCUGAGGUGCGAAAGCGUGGGGAGCAAACAGG